rnacentral:lncRNA from 1 species
CAAACCGCGGGCUCAAGCGCUGCAAUCGCCAAUUAACACCAUCCUAACAUUUCCCACACGGGCGUUUAGUAGCAAAGCAAAGUCUUCCCUAAAACCUCUACAUCAUCUAUCGCACAUCGAUCUCAAUUUCCCUCCCAAAGUCCGCCACAAUGCUCGUAGAUCAUGCCGACGCUUGACCACAAAAUCUUUCAUCCUGCUCUCGUAUGCUGCCUUCGCAUGCCUUUUCGCCCGGUUGUAGUCUGUCCGCGCGCGGCAAAAAGCUUCCCUGUAUUAUCCUUAUAGCAGGCCGUUAUUGGCGAUGAAUUACCACUUCGGACGUGUUGCGAAAUGGAUAACCGGAAUCAUAUGUAUGUAAUUGCCAACAUACAUUGUAGUUAUCACAUGCAUAGCUGAUAACCAUUGCAGAGUUGCAGUGACCAGGCAGUAGCAAGCCUGAAAGAGACACCCAUGCAUGUGACAGUGUAUGCAGCUCGAGGAGGACAGCCUCCCCGGCCGGGGGCGGAUGCCAGUCUGCAUCUCUACCUACCUUCGUGUUGGCAGACCGUACCAAACGAUGCCAUGCAUACUGUUCAUUUUUACGGACACUGAACCCACAUUGCGACGCCCAACGUCGUGCGAACUCAUAUACCCUUGGAUACUGGUUGGCUCCAUGUGGGUGCUUUCGCAACCUCGCGCAAAUCCCUGAAAAAUGAG